GUGCGUAUGAUGGAAAACUUUAUUAAUGCUGAUAAUCUUGAUGUUUCCAAAGGAACCACUGAUGCGC
rfam:Xenopus laevis strain J chromosome 2L, whole genome shotgun sequence.